rnacentral:rRNA from 1 species
UACAGGGGGGGCAAGCGUUGUUCGGAAUUACUGGGCGUAAAGGGUCUGUAGGUGGCCAACUAAGUCAGACGUGAAAUCCCUCAGCUUAACUGGGGGAACUGCGUCUGAUACUGGAUGGCUUGAGUGUGGGAGAGGAAUGCGGAAUUCCAGGUGUAGCGGUGAAAUGCGUAGAUAUCUGGAGGAAUACCGGUGGCGAAGGCGGCAUCCUGGACCGAGAUUGACGCUGAUGAGCGAAAGCUAGGGGAGCAAACAGG